UGAUGGUUAUGUGAAUUCUUUACAUUUUUGUGUGAAACCCUCUUGUAUAAGCAUACUUGUGCAAAUGAAAUAUGAAGGGUUUGAUUGCUCGAAUGUAUGUAUGUCUAAAUCCUGUUUGCUUGGCAUGUGUGAUGUCUUGGUGAAAAUGAAAUUUUUGUUGGGUGUGGAACGACCGAUCAAAAUCGUGUUUCCAAACCCGAAACAUGUAUUCCUAAGCUGAUGUCAAGCGAAGGUGAGUAUCAAAUUUGUAUUUUGAAUCAAUGUGUUGAC
rnacentral:lncRNA from 1 species